UGAGAAGUAAAGGAAAAUGAAUUCAGCUUAAACUAAAAUGAACUACAUAUCUAUCUAUAUAUACAUUGGGCUUAUACCUGAAAAACACUACUGGCCUAACUCUUAUACAUAAAUAAAAGCUAUCUUAUAUUAUAUUUGGGCCUCUAUCUCGAGCUUUAAACUUGGGCUUCCUGCUAUUGUUAUAUACUUCAACAAAGGGGUGAGCCGAUCGUAUCAACCUAUACAAUAUACAUAACAGAUAUUUAAAUUAGUAUUCAAUAAUUCAAAUGAAAUAAUUAAAGCUCUGUACGUGACUAUCAUUUAAUUUACUUCAUCCUUCCCAUUUUAUAUGAUCUUCUUUGACUUGGACGGAGUUUUAAAAAAAUACUUUUGAAACUUUUAAUCUAAAAUAGGUUAUAGACAUUUGCGAGUUUCAAAGUUAAAUUAUUUCUAAAUUUUAAAAUAUAUCAUUAUUUGCGGAACAUACUAAAAAGAAAAAGGUAUCAUAUAUAUAUAUAUAUAUUGGUUUAGAGUGAGUGUAAUAUUAAUUAUCUGAGUAAUAACUAUAUUAGUAGUGAAGAUAAAUAUAAAAUAGGUUUUCUAAAGAUUCCCAGUAAAACACAAGAAAAUAAGUAUUAACGGGAUUGUUACACAAAUAGUGAUUCAAUAUUUAUUUUUUCUAGUCGGUAUACAUUGAUUAUACAUUAAUUAUAUAUAUUUUGUACAUAUAUUAUAUUAAAUAUCUUACAUCUAUUUUAGUUUAAGAGAUUGGGUGGAUGGCUAUAUAAUCGUGUUAAUCCUUCUUCUUUUUUAAACUAAAGUUGGAAACUUGCAAAUUAGGAAUGCCAAUAAUCCCAGAACUGCUAAUCAAUUUCCUUCUCGCAAUAUGCAUGAACUAGAUUGAAUGAAGAUAGGGAAAGUAACAAAUGGCACAAGAAAAUUUUCUAAUCAAGUUGUCAAUAUCCAUUGAAUAGAUAAAACAGAAAUCAAUAAAUUGGAACUAAGGAAAUCAAAAAUGUUUAACCGAUAGGAGAAAUUAAGGAUUACUAUUUAUGAUCACUUAUGCAUUAUAUGAACAAACACAAUCAUGCAUUCCAAUUCAAAAAUUCAUUUAAUGCAUUUCAUCUUCACCUAUAUAUUGCACACAUA
rnacentral:lncRNA from 1 species